GUUUGAAAUAAUGUGUGAGCUCUUUUUAUCAAGUUCUUUAUACUCACUUCCAGCUGCAAAAUAGAAAUUUCCUCUGAACUGAUACACAUGCUGAGCGAAAUAAGGCUUAAACAUGUUUAACACGGUGAUUUUCCCCCAGCAGGCACGAGGAGGAGAUGGGCGUUGAUGGAACAAACAGACGCGAAAGUCCACAUCCAAACGUCCCUCGUUCCAAAUCGCUGUUUUAUCCUUCCACAUACAAACUGAAUUUACAUUCCGCGAUUCCAGUCGGUGAUUUUUACACUUCUCAAGUUGCUUUCUCUUUUACAUGUGUAAAUAACAUGGUGGAAAGCAGAGAGUCCCGUGCGUAACCGAGUGUAACCGAAGAAGCGGCGCGCCGCGCGAAGACGCACAACACAGAUGCGAUCAAAUGAGUUCACGGAGUUCUCUCUUUGUCCCACAGCACAAUAAUCCUUCACCAGGACGUCCUGAAGUUGACUGGAACGCUGGAGGAACUGGUUCAAAGAUUGCAGACGGAUCUCAAAGUCUCAAACACUGAACAGAAGUACUGCAAGUCUCUGAAAUGACCUCCUGAUGGUUUUUAUAUUUAUAUAAGGUCACUUCCCGCGCCAGCUUCGGAUGAAGAGUGGCCCAAACAGAAGGACACAUCUUCAGUUAGACUCACUUUACAAGGCUGUCAAAGACGCAAGCACCAGCUGCGAGAGAGAGAAGCCCUGGAACGAGCACGUGGAGCUGGCUGGAAUGCUCUAAAAGGCUUCAGAUAUAAGACAGUCAACAGCUACGAGAUGGUGGCAUCCGCCAUUUUGUGAUGUGCUUGGCCUCAGAGAGGUGAAGUAUAUUUGCUGAGCGUCCGAGUCCACCUUGACCCGCAGCCCAUGCCAGCGCUACGCCAGGCCGAAAACCUUCUGGAUUUGCCAUUUGGAAGUAUUGACCUGCGACUUUCCCGUUCCCAAUGCAUUCGGACAGGGGAUUCCGGAGUGAAGCUGCUCCGCUCUGGGACAAGUGCCAAUUGCUCACAAAAGGCGAGUGAAAAUAUCACUGAUCUCAACAAGGAAACGUCGGGGGUGAGUGGAAAACACAAAUUUGCAUGCGUCCGUGCAACUAACACAGAAAAAAGUGAAGGAUGGUUGCAAGGGGAGGGGAAGACAGAGAAAAAGAGGAUUGUAAAAGAGGAGGUGGGGGCGUUUAUUCAAUCCUGUUUGAUGCUCCUCGGGCCUUCGAGAGCCGAUUGCAUGUGCUGUGGUAACUGCGGGACCAUUUGCAUGUGGCAGACACGCUAAUUGUGUGUUUGCUAACACGCACCAUUCAGUGAGACGCGCUCCGGUCCGCAGACGGGGUUCACACACGCCUCCCAGACGCCCUGGUGGCCUCCUAUUGUUCCAGAGGCCCAGCCGAGCAGCCGGAGAGCCUAACCAGAGCCCAGCGCUGUCCUGACGAGAGGGGAAACUGGAAUUGGAGACCAGACGGGAUAGCGAAACAGGACGGACUCUCUUUCUCCCCGCAGCGAGAAAAAAGAGGCCUGUAGAAAGCGUUGCCUCCGGACGCUGACGUCCUCGCAGAUGUGUGCAAAAGUAAAGUUUGAAAUGGACUAACCAAGAUGCAGCCCUGCACAGGAACUUGACAAACAUGGCCACUAUGAAUCAUCAUUACAUGGAAAGAGCAGAAAGAAGAAAUUCUCCUGAAGUGUUUGACGCACAUGCGGAUCCAGAUCCUAAAGAAAAGCCGGAUCAUAAGAUGAGCAGAAACUGGUUUCUCUUUGUUCCAGACGCAGACAGACAGAGAGACGACGUCUCUCCAGCGGAUGCCACUGUCCUUUGGGGUGAGGUAGUAGGUUGUAUAGUUUUAGGGUCACACCCUUCCUGUUAGAUAACUAUACAACUUACUGUCUUUCCUGAAGAGGCUGUAAUAUCACCGUCAUCUUCCUCUUUAAGCCGACCACACAUGGACCAGCGUUAUCUUAUUAUUGAUGAACUGUUAUUGUUUAGUUGUUCAUCUUUUGAAUUUUAUUUUAAUGUUGACAUUUUCAGUUUCUGUUUUUUCCUGUAUUUUCAUUUUUAUAUAUAUUUUUAAUCAUUUGUAUUAAUUUUAGUUUCAUUUGUAAUUUUGAUGUCUGAAAUGUGGCAAGUAGCUGAACACGGUAGUUUAUUAUUAUUAUUAUUUUUUUAAUUUGUUGUAGUAAUGAGGUGUGUGUGUGUAGUUUAUAUAUUUUUCUGGUUUCAUUUUGAAUUUUAAUCAGGGUUUCGGUGUGUUUUUGUCAUUUUUAUUAGUUUUAGUUUUUGAUAUAUUUACAUAGUCUUUAAUAAUUUUUAUUUAUUCGUGUUAGUUUAUUUAAUUUCUUAUUUUAAUACUUCAGGUUAAACAAAAAAAAUUUGAAUGUUGAAAGCUGAAAAAAGCUAAUAAAAUAGAUAAGUUUUUAUAUUUUAUUUUUAAUAACAUUUAUUUGUAUAUACAUUUUACAUAUUUUAAUAAUAAUUAUGUAUGUUUUAUAUAUAUAUAUAUA